GUGUGUUUACGUAUGUGAAUAGUAGAAUAGAAACAAAAACCAUGUAUUUAGUAUACAGUCGGGAAAUGUGAAUGAAUAUGUAUAUAUACGACGUUAGUAUAUCGAUAUACAGCUUAUAUCAUAUAUAACAAUAUGUGGUAGAUCCCUUGUUCUUCAAAUUCAGUUGCAGAUGUAUCAAUAUGUAGCACUCCAUAUAUAUGUAUAGUAGUGACGUAGUUGAAAAUCCCGUGCCGGUACGCAUAAUUAAGCAAAGGCCUCGGAGUACCAUUUAAAAUUAUAAAAAAAUCUUUGAAUACCCUCCAUCCUUUGAUGUCUCAAUUAUUAAUCCACUUAAGGACUCACAAAAUUGCAACCCCAACGUCCUGAGGCUCUCCCUGCCCAACGAGCUCCUACAAAUAUACGCGAUAUUUGGCUGACUGAAAAUAGAAGGAGACGCCACCGUCCUUUGACGUCAUGCACUUUCCAUAAAUAGAGUUUCAAUGGAAUCCCUUUGUCCUGAGACAACAGUUCAUAUCUGUUUGGUAAUCGCAAAGGGCAUGCAUAUUCUACACACAACAGGAAAAAUACAGAAGAGAGAAGUCAAAAGGUAACGUCUGAAGAUGAUGAAAUAGUUACCUCAUCUACAACAGCUGCCAUUUUAUACUAAAUCAUAUGGGUUAAACACUAAUAUUGGGCCAGUUCAAUACAUUAUGGGCUAACAAAAUUGGAAGAGUGCAUUUCGAAAUGGCCACUGGAGAGUUUGAAAUGUUGUGUGCUCUAUUCCCUGCUCCCUUACGCCACCGUCCAUUAUCCUAUAUUAGAUCCGUAGCAUGGAUCCCUUUGCAGAAACUCCUUUGCGCCACAAUCCAUUGCAUUGUUCUCCUUGCAGAAGAUUCCUUAUGCUAAGGUCAAUUAUCACCAAAUAUUUUGCAGAUGAAUCAUGAAUCUUCAUAAUUUACCAUUUAUAUAAUAAGAUAAUAAAUAAUAGAAUAGACGGAGUACGACUUGCUGUAAUGCUAAUCAAAGGCUUCAGGUAUCUUUGGCAGUGAUAUGUGGACACAUAGAAAUAGAGUCAUUGUUAUUAUAUAAUAAUACAUUUGGAAGGGAGGAACCGAUCUUACUUGAGCAAUUCAUAUCGUCUAUUUAUCGAGCGAUAAAGAGAUGAUUAAUUAUUAUAUAAUAAUGAACUUAACCAUUCAUUUGCCUACAAACUUAAUUACUCUGACUUUAAUUAAUAUAGAUAGUUAUAACUUUUGGAAUGUAUCUGUGAUUGCUUGCUAUGUUAAGUCUCUUAUCACUACAAGUUGCAACUCAUUAAGCCUAUCAGAUCCAUCCCACGCUCUUAUCUUUAUUGUAUAUCGCAACCUUUCAUCCAAAAACACAGAGUCAAAAAAACUCACAAUCAGUUGAUACUUAGGCAAAUAUUCCGAGCUAUGGGACCAUUAUUGAAUAAUAAUAAUAGGGAACUAUUUGUUCAUCACAGCUUCACAAGAGCUCAUUCGAAUUAUUCGACCAAUCUACGUUCAAAACAGCACUGAUAAUGAGGAGAGAAGCAGAAACAUACACAGCAGACAACAAAAUACAGUUUAGAAGAACAGUUUAGGAACAAGAAUUUGAAAACAGAUGAUGAAAUAAUGUACUUAUAACUCCCUAAGUUUAUUAAUUUGCGAGACAGUAAUUAUGUUGGGAUCUUUAAGAAUACGUUAAAUAUAUUAUACUUUAACUCCAAAUCAAUCAAAACUUUAUGAAAAUGGAAUGAACUCAUAAUAUUCAAAUCAAUGAUUGAUGUAUUAAAUAAUAAAAAAUUCGCUGAAAUACUAGUUUCAAAAGGAA
rnacentral:lncRNA from 1 species